GUAGUUCAGUGGUAGAAUUCUUGCCUGACAUGCAUGAGGUCCUGGGUUCAAUCCCCAGC
rnacentral:tRNA from 1 species